rnacentral:rRNA from 1 species
AGGUAAUGGCUCACCAAGGCGUCGACGGGUAGCCGGCCUGAGAGGGUGACCGGCCACACUGGGACUGAGACACGGCCCAGACUCCUACGGGAGGCAGCAGUGGGGAAUAUUGCACAAUGGGCGAAAGCCUGAUGCAGCAACGCCGCGUGAGGGACGACGGCCUUCGGGUUGUAAACCUCUUUUAGCAAGGAAGAAGCGAAAGUGACGGUACUUGCAGAAAAAGCGCCGGCUAACUACGUGCCAGCAGCCGCGGUAAUACGUAGGGCGCAAGCGUUAUCCGGAAUUAUUGGGCGUAAAGAGCUCGUAGGCGGUUUGUCGCGUCUGCUGUGAAAACCCGAGGCUCAACCUCGGGCCUGCAGUGGGUACGGGCAGACUAGAGUGCGGUAGGGGAGAUUGGAACUCCUGGUGUAGCGGUGGAAUGCGCAGAUAUCAGGAAGAACACCGAUGGCGAAGGCAGAUCUCUGGGCCGUAACUGACGCUGAGGAGCGAAAGGGUGGGGAGCAAACAGGCUUAGAUACCCUGGUAGUCCACCCCGUAAACGUUGGGAACUAGUUGUGGGGUCCAUUCCACGGAUUCCGUGACGCAGCUAACGCAUUAAGUUCCCCGCCUGGGGAGUACGGAAUCUCUAGAG